AAUGGUGUCUGCACAGGCUUUUCUGAAUCUUCAGCAAGGAAUCUUUUCCUUCUGUUCUGCAGGUACCAGUGACAGCCAGCAGCAGGCCUGUUGUGAGAAGCUGCUACCUGAAUCUCUCUGCACAAACAGCAUCCUGAGGAGGAAGGCUCAAAACCCCCACGAGAUGCACAGAUACCUCCAAGGAACGUCUCCAGAGGUGGCAAUCCAUCAGGGAGCCAUGCUGACAUAGCUCUCAGCUACCUUCUCCAAUAAAAAAAGGAAUGAAUUUCCAAAGCACUUGAAAGAUUGCUCUUUGCGUGGAAGAAGAACUGAAUUUAAACACAGCAGGAUGAAUGCAGCUGUGUCACUGAUACUGUUAAUCCUGUGUGUAUUUUUCCC